rnacentral:rRNA from 1 species
UGGGGAAUAUUGGGCAAUGGGCGCAAGCCUGACCCAGCAACGCCGCGUGAGGGAAGAAGGCUUUCGGGUUGUAAACCUCUGUCCUUGGUGACGAAAAAAAUGACGGUAGCCAAGGAGGAAGCCCCGGCUAACUACGUGCCAGCAGCCGCGGUAAUACGUAGGGGGCGAGCGUUGUCCGGAAUUACUGGGCGUAAAGGGUGCGUAGGUGGCCUUUUAAGUUGGAUGUGAAAUACCCGGGCUUAACCUGGGGGGUGCAUCUAAUACUGGAGGGCUAGAGUGCAGGAGAAGAAAGCGGAAUUCCUAGUGUAGCGGUAAAAUGCGUAGAUAUUAGGAAGCACAACAGUAGCAAAGGAGGCUUUAUAGACUGUAACUGACACUGAGGCACGAAAGAGUGAGGAGCAAACA